rnacentral:rRNA from 1 species
GUCGAGAAUCUUUCACAAUGGGGGCAACCCUGAUGGAGCGACGCCGCGUGGAGGAUAAGGUCUUCGGAUUGUAAACUCCUGUCAUGCGUGAACAAGGUUGCUUGGUUAAUACCUGGGCAAAUUGGUGGUAACGCAAGAGGAAGAGACGGCUAACUCUGUGCCAGCAGCCGCGGUAAUACAGAGGUCUCAAGCGUUGUUCGGAAUCACUGGGCGUAAAGGGUGCGUAGGUGGCGUGGUAAGUCAGAUGUGAAAGCCCGGGGCUCAACCUCGGAACUGCAUCCGAUACUGCCAUGCUAGAGUACUGGAGAGGUGACUAGAAUUCUCGGUGUAGCAGUGAAAUGCGUAGAUAUCGAGAGGAAUACCAAAGGCGUAGGCAGGUCACUGGACAGUUACUGACACUGAGGCACGAAGGCCAGGGGAGCGAACGGGAUUAGAUACCCUGGUAGUCC